GAUGGUUCAUUCAAAUUUCUGCCCUAUCAACUUUCGAUUGUAGUUUAGUGGACUACAAUGGUUUCAACGGGUAACGGGGAAUUAGGGUUCGACUCCGGAGAGGGAGCCUGAGAAACGGCUACCACAUCCAAGGAAGGCAGCAGGCGCGCAAAUUACCCAAUCCCGACACGGGGAGGUAGUGACAAUAAAUACUGAUACAGGGCUCUUUUGAGUCUUGUAAUUGGAAUGAGUACAAUUUAAAUCCCUUAACGAGGAACAAUUGGAGGGCAAGUCUGGUGCCAGCAGCCGCGGUAAUUCCAGCUCCAAUAGCGUAUAUUAAAGUUGUUGCGGUUAAAAAGCUCGUAGUUGAACCUUGGGUCUGGCUGGCUGGUCCGCCUCACCGCGUGUACUGGUCCGGCCGGAUCUUUCCUUCUGGGGAAUCUCAUGCCCUUUACUGGGUGUGUUGGGGAACCAGGACUUUUACUUUGAAAAAAUUAGAGUGUUCAAAGCAGGCCUAUGCUCGAAUACAUUAGCAUGGAAUAAUAGAA
rnacentral:rRNA from 1 species